GCCAGUGUAGUUUAAAUAAAACAUGACACUGAAGAUGUCAAAAUGAACCAUAAAAAGUUUCACGAGCA
rnacentral:tRNA from 1 species